GAUGAAGAACGUAGCGAAAUGCGAUAAGUAAUGUGAAUUGCAGAAUUCAUUGAAUCAUCGAAUCUUUGAACGCACAUUGCGCCCGCCAGUAUUCUGGCGGGCAUGCCUGUUCGAGCGUCAUUACAACCCUCAGGCCCCCGGGCCUGGCGUUGGGGAUCGGCGGAAGCCCCCUGCGGGCACAACGCCGUCCCCCAAAUACAGUGGCGGUCCCGCCGCAGCUUCCAUUGCGUAGUAGCUAACACCUCGCAACUGGAGAGCGGCGCGGCCACGCCGUAAAACACCCAACUUCUGAAUGUUGACCUCGAAUCAGGUAGGAAUACCCGCUGAACUUAAGCAUAUCAAUAAGCGGAGGA
rnacentral:misc_RNA from 1 species